AUUGAUUCCUUUAGCAAUAUUUGAUAUUAUUGAGUCAUUUUUGAAUAGAUACGAGUGGUUUGAAGGUGAAUUCCAAAGAAAAAGCUGUGAUUGAGAAUUAAGUAGCCUUCGGAGCGAGGUAAGUAUUGUGUCUAACCAUGACUUAAGGGAAUUAGGAACCUUAGAUUACUUGCUAAGUGAAAUCCAUGUGAGUGGCGUAUAUGUGAGGUGACGAGUACUUAUGCGUCACCAAAUUUAACUGUUUUUCCAUGUUUCUCUGUUUUUCUUACAUUGUCUUUUCCUGUGUCAAAUUGCUACGUGUUGUGCUAGAAUUAUUCAACUUAUCGUUCUUAUCAUUUUUACAGAUUUUCUAGUGAUAAUUGAGUUUUUAUUUCAAAGUUGAGAUUGAUAGUAUGGAACCAAAUAUUGAAGUAAAAUUUGUACUUGUUAUUCUAUCUCCCUGUUAAUAUUUAUGCAUUCUAUUAUGGUAAGGGAGAGUGUUAAUGCACGAAGGGUGAUGUCGUGCCAUAUUGUGAGUCUUAAUGCACGAAGGGUGAUGUCGUGCCAUAUUGUGAGUGUUAAUACACGAAGGGUGAUGUCGUGCCAUAUUGUGUUUGUUAAUGCACGAAGGGUGAUGUCGUGCCAUAUUGUGAGUGUUAAUGCACGAAGGGUGAUGUCGUGCCAUAUUGUGAGUGUUAAUGCACGAAGGGUGAUGCCGUGCCAUGAUAUGAGAGUAAAAGCACAAAGGGUGAUGCCGUGCUGUUUCUAUUAAUUUUACGGUGAGAUUGAGAGUAAAAGCACGAAGGGUGAUGUCGUGCAUUUUUCCUUGCUCUAUUCACUAUUCCUGUUGAUUCAUGGUAUAUUGACUGCUCCGGUGAUCAUUUUGUUGUAGUUCUUUAUCUUGUAUUCCCCUUAGUAUGUUUCCCCUCCCGACAUUUCAUGUUUAGUUCUUCAUUUUUGUUAUUUGCAUAUACACUGUUAAAUUUGUACAGGUUAAAUUGUAGGUGUCUUGCCUUAGCCUCGUCACUACUUCAUCGAGAUUAAACUCGACACUUAUCAGUACAUGGGGUCAAUUGUAUUGAUGCUGCACUCUACACUUUCUGUGCAGAUUUUGAUACCGGCUCAGGUUGAUCGAGAUUUGCUACUAGUCUGCUGUCCGGAGACUCAAGAUAGAUCUGUCGGCGUUCACAGACCUUGAAGUCCCCGUCUAUUAUUUAUGUCCUACUAUUUUCUUUCAUUCAUACAGUUGUAUUUCUUUCAGACUAUUGCUUGUAGUAAAUUCUAGAAUACUCGUGAAUUGUGAUUCCAGACCCGGGUGGUAGUAAUUAAUACAGUUUUACGAUAUUCCGCACUUAUUAUAUUUCAUCUUAGUUAGUUAUUGUUAUUUACUGAAUGGAAAUAAGGAAUUGGUUUAACGAUUUUCUAACGUUAGCGUGCCUAGCAAGUGAAAUGUUAGGCGCCAUCAAGGUCCCGUCGGUGGGAAAUUUUGGGUCGUGACAGUUGGUAUCAGAGCACUAGGUUGCCUUCUAUUCUUAGUAGAGUCUGGAGGAUCAGUACGGAGACGUUUGUGCUUAUCUUCC
rnacentral:lncRNA from 1 species